AACAAACGCUGGCGGCGUGCCUAACACAUGCAAGUCGUACGAGAAAGGGUCCUUCGGGGCCUGAGUAAAGUGGCGCACGGGUGAGUAACGCGUGGAUAAUCUACCCUUCAGUUGGGAACAACUCAUCGAAAGGUGGGCUAAUACCGAAUAACACUGCAAGACUUUGGUCGAGCAGUCAAAGAGAGCCUCUGCUUGCAAGCCCUCGCUGAAGGAUGAGUCCGCGUACCAUUAGCUAGUUGGUAGGGUAAUGGCCUACCAAGGCGACGAUGGUUAGCUGGUCUGAGAGGAUGAUCAGCCACACUGGAACUGAGACACGGUCCAGACUCCGACGGGAGGCAGCAGUGAGGAAUCUUGCGCAAUGGGGGAAACCCUGACGCAGCAACGCCGCGUGAGUGAGGAAGGCCUUCGGGUCGUAAAGCUCUGUCAGUUGGAAAGAAACGCCUGGAAGCCAAUACCUUUCAGGCUUGACGGUACCAACAGAGGAAGCACCGGCUAACUCCGUGCCAGCAGCCGCUGUAACAC
rnacentral:rRNA from 1 species